rnacentral:sRNA from 1 species
UGUGCUGACGGACAAGCACGAGGCCACAAGGAUGGGGCCAGGACAGCCGCAGGAUGCGGUUUCAUCAGGAUGAUGAUCAGGAAUACAGGGAGCAUGGAAGAAGCCGGGCGGGGUAUACCCCGCCCCUUUUUU